AGACUUUCCUGAAGCUUGAGGAUGGUGAAGACAGCCUCACCCGGCCCUCUGGAAGGGCGAAAAAUCAGCUGGCCUGCAUGCAGAUGGAAAACAACCCUAUCUUUGAAAAGCAUUUGGAAGUUGCAAUUGGAAAAAAAAUGCAGCAGGUAGAGUAAUAAUUGAAACUAUAUUUAGGGCUGGGGAUAGGAGAUGUGAUUCCUCUGCCACACAACUUUCAUUGACUUCCUGAACCAAACAUUCACUUCCAAGCUAAAUGUUACCUGUAAAAGCCAUAAAUGACUUGAAUCCAGGAUGUGUUUACAAGGUUGGACCAGAAAAGCUGUUGCCAUCUGGUGCUGAUAAGGUAAUUAUAAGGCUUGGUAAGAGAAAUCUAUAAAACAUGGUACUUCUACACAGAGGUGGGUUACACUUACGUUAAGAACCAAUUCACUGGUUGUGAGCGUGCGCAUGCGCGCAAGCUUGCAUCACUCGCAUGCUUGGUUUGCUUGAACACCCCACUGUGGGGCUGAAAAGCAGCUUCAAACAUGCAGCUAAUCUACUCAGGCAGUUCCGGUGAGUAGAGCAGAUGCACAUGGAACUCAGUUGGGCUGCGUGGGCAAGGGAACGAGACAGAAAGUUAGUUAUAUAUGGAAAGGAUAGCACAGAGGUAGGUGGGAGGGCCCAGCCUGCAAUCACAACUACCGGUUCUCCCAAACUGGUCUGACCAGGCAGCAGCCCACCACUGCUUCUACAACAAAGGCAGCAAUUUCAGUUCCAGAACUGAGAAAGCUCAGAACAGAAUUUCAUCUGAAGAUGUGUUUAAUGCUAUGUUUUUCAACUUCAGCAACUUUAAGCUGGGUGAAUUUCUAGAAUUCCCUGGAUGGCUGGGGAAUUUUGGGAGCUGAAGUCCACUUAGCUUACCAUUGCUGAGCUUGAGAAACACUGUCCCCAUGGGAGAGGGUCACAUGAGAGAAGCAGUCACUGGUUCUGACUUGAAAAGGGACAAUGCAGCAAAGCUUUCUGAAACUUAAAAAAAUGCUGCCAUUCUGUGCCUCUUUAAGCUAUUUCCCAGAUAACAUAAUGUUACGUGCAGUGCACAUAAAAGCUGCAGCUCCAUGUUCCUGGUAAUAUCUCAUUUAAGCCCUUACUUAAACAUUAGUAAAUGGAAUUAGGCAUUUCAGCUUUGCAUUUGUCGUUAGCCAUUAUUUUUUUUUAAAAAAGUAUAUCAAUAUCCACUUAUGUGAAACCGUCUGUUACAAUAACCAAAGGAUCCUUCCCGAGUCAGACAGACGGCUGCUAUGUUUGGGCAAUAUUGUCCAGAAUUCCCAGCUACUAUAGACAGUGACUGAGAAAUCUGUGUUCUGUAGUUUUGGCACUUCUGAUGGUUGGGGAAGAUUGUGUUAGUUGCUGGCAGCCCUUGGGCCGGAUGCAUCAUAUGCAGGCCACGCCCAUCCCAGCUCCCGACUGGGAAAAAUGUCACGAAAUGUCAUGUGACGCUUGACCCCCAUGUGUUAGUGGAUCUAUUCUGUAAGAGCUUUUAUUUAUUUUUGAAAAACCAGUCAUUUGAAUAAUCAUUUCCCCCGCAUUUUUCUCCUAAUAGUUAGAGGCCAACAUUAUGAUUUCACUUUCUUGAUUUUUCUUUUGCCAUUUUGAGAGAAUGGAUUAACUACUAUGAGCAUUGCAUAACUCCUUCUCUAUUCUUUUAUAAAUGCACAAAAGAAAAUCAUCUGAUGUAUUGCUGGUAAUUACAUCUUCAUGAGCACCGAUGAUUUUUCUAAUUCUGUUCAUUUAUCUCCCACAGAUUAAGAAGUAGGUCCAGGAAAAGCAGCAAUAUUGCUUAAAAAUGUCAAAACAUUGUAGUCAUAUCCUUAUUGCAAUGAAGGAAGAUUAUAGUCAUCUGGGACCGUAGUCAACCACUCAUCCAACAGAGAAGACUCCUGCUCCAUCUACAGCUUGUGCCAGACUCCGCAUGGAAGCUGUCAGUUGAAAUCAGUGUGAAGGAAGGGCAGGUGAUUCAAGAAAAUGAAAGAAUCUACUCCACCUUUGAUCACCUGAACUCAGCACCUGAACUCGGCACUUUGAACUCAGCAACAACCAACUAUUUUUGGGGUGCAAAAGAAAAUCAGAUUACACAACUCAAUAACAUAAGGUUUGAAUGGUCCAAUGGGCCUUCUGUGACACAACUUGGAUGGAUGGGAUGGAAUUGAAUCAAGCUGAAAUCAAGUAAGAUGGAAUUGAUAUAUGUGUACUGAGAAUGUGGUCUGCAUAGAGUUGCCUCUGAAGACUGUGUGAAAACUGCAAAUAGUUCAAAAUAGAGCAGGGUUUUUUUAAAGCCAGCAUUCUAUAGUGAAUUAUACCUUUGGGUUGAAUCCUGCAUUGGCUCCCAGUAGGCUUCCAGGAAAACAAAAUGCUGUUUUCUGCCUGUAUACCUGGAUAGGCUUGGUACUUGGUCUCCUGAUACAAUCAGCCAGUAGAAAACAAAGACUAAAUCCCAUUUUGAUGAAGUGAGCAGGUAGAAAUCCAAGAGAUGCUGCUCUUCAGUAGCAGCCUUUGCCCUUUGGAAUAGCUUCCUGAUUGAGAUCAGAUUAUAAUGGUAUGUGGGAAUGACCUUGGGAAACAGAAGAAAAACCAUAACCUAGGCAAUGGUGGAGCGGUGGCAAAAGCAUCCCAGAGGAGACCCUCUCUAAUUUUCAGGAGAGUAAAAGUGAAAGAAAGUAGGGAUACAUUCAGACCUUCAAGAUUCUAUUAAUGUAGCACUACAAUCCAGAUAGCGCUGGUACUCCUGGGUGUGCUUUUUGUCACUCUGAAAUCUCUUGCAAGUAUAACAUCAGUCUGUAUCACAGGAUAACACAACCUAACUGACAAACCUACCAUACAGAUAACAAUACAGUGGCAGAAAUUGUAGAAGUGUCCUUCAGGAAAGUUCCAUAUUCUCUAAGAUGUUCAUUAAUGAAAAGAUGGUGUAAUCCAUUAUUUGUGCCCCUGGAACUUUCAAGUAAGUUUAUUACUAACAAAAGUUGCACAUUAAGGAUAAUUUAUUUAUUUUAUUAUAUGUUAUUUUUAUUCAUCACAUUUAGAGACUGCCUGUCUCCCUCACUGAGUGAUAAUAUUUCCACUCAAAGUGAGGUAAUUUCAAUGUCAAAAUUGACAGUCACUGUCAAUAUAAUAACUUGCAUUAGUUUCUUGCAGAACUCAGCAACUAAUUAAUUAGCAUAUUGUUGUGAACUGUUCAGCCUGCUUUGUCAAUAUGCAAAGCCUCCCUAGGUAGAGGCUUUGGAGUGGGCAUUCAUGGACCAUUAGAAUGCCUUUCCUAAAACUAGAUGAUACACAAUUCUUGCCAUCUUCCUAGGGGAAGAGCUCCAACAAGUUUUGCUAAGAUAAGGGGAUUAAAAUAGAGUAGCUGCUAGACGGGUAGAGUUUGGCUCAUAAUUUAUACUGCUGCUGAAUAUUAAUUAAAUUAUUGCAUCCAUGAGAAAGUUUGACAGAGUUAAAGAUGCUCUGCUCCAUGAUACAGCAAAAGGCAAAAUUUGGGUACUUUAUGAAGCAGAGUUUUUGGCCUGGCUCCUGGGAGUACUGGCUACACUUUUUGUUCUUCUGGUUCAAGCACUGAUGAGGCCAUGCCACUCUUCUUCACGUGCUACAAAAAGGGCAAAGUUUUAAUGGCAACUGAGUUCUCUGAAUACAUACCAUCUAGAAAUGCACUUCUGUUCCCAGAGAGGGUAAUCUGAAUAAACAAAUCUUGUUAACCAGGAUGGGAAACCUUUUCCUUUGAAAAAAGUAUAAUGUUCUCUUGCUAGUUUCAGGAACUCUCACUGCAUCUAUAUGUUGCUAUGCUCACUCCACUUCUUUAAAAAAUGAGAAGUUCCAGGAAUACAAUGGAAGGAGACUGAAAUGUGCUAUAGAGUUUCCAAAGAAAAUAGUGGGACUGAAUGGCAUCUAAGAUGUGGUUCCUGUCUCUGUUGUGAUUUUCAUUAUGAUUGUGGCUUUUUUAGGCUGGAUCACUAUCUCUCUAUGCAAAUACAGAUCUAUAGUCCAUUGCUGCAAAAGUGAAGUGCUACUGUCCAGCAGAAUCCGUUGGACCCACAUACGACACCUUAAGCAGCAGCCCCUGCAUUGCUACGGAUGAAGCUACCAGAAGUACUGCAUUAUAUAAGAAAUUUGGAUGGCAAAGCAGAAUGGGAGAUCACCCCAGGAAAAGGAAGGGGAUGGUAGAAAUGCAGAGAAGUUAACUCCAUGCAGACAGAAUUCAAAUGCAAAAGCUGCAACUUUCCAGAGCAGUAAGGCCAGGACAACAGGCUGACUCACCAUUGCUGCUGCUGCUAUUCAAAAUGGAUUAAGAACAUGAUGACCCUGAUUUUCUGUCCUGAUAAGCUGCUGAAUUCAGAAUGAAGGGGAAAUUAAUGCUCUUGCUGCUGUUUCUCCAGAGACUAAGAUUUUUCAUCAAUAAAUGUUCCAAUUACAGGUGGGCUACUUUUCACUUUCUGCCUGAAUUGUUAUCAAGUAGAAGAAUGUUGCGCACAAUUGGAUAAGUAGGUCAGGUCUGAAUAUCACUGAACCUAACUGAAUAUAAUUAGGCAUUUUUCUUGCCAUUGUUUUCAGAACUUGUGCUUCUGAUAUUUUCAUACACUCUGUUUUUUAAAAAAAUUCUGUUGUGCUUAAGAAUUCAUCCUGAGAAUGCGUAUCUCGCCCAUCACCCAAUAGAAUGAUGAGAGUGAAAGAGAUUUGCUGGCAGGAGCAACGGCUCCUUCUGUGCCAUGUUCCAGAACAGGUGAUAUCUCCCUGGCCUAGCAGGCAGUCCUCUCACAAAGACACAGUUUCACGCAAUGUAGUUAAAAAGGGAAAGACAAGCUUUCAUCCAAGUCUUUGCUUCUGCAUUUUUCAUUAACAUCACAUAUUAAUAUUUUAUCCAUGGUGGUGAGGUGGGAAAAGGGAUUAUGUAGUGGACAAAACGUGUGUCUCAAAAUAGAAUAUUUUUACCUUGCGCAACGGAGAAACUUGGAGUUAAAUUAAAUAUUUAGAAACACGGAAAACAAAGGGAGCUGUAAAAAGCUGCAAUUUUUCAUGUCACCUCCUGCUGCUGUGCCAAAAAAAGCUCCUACACCCAUCAGUCAGCAAAAUCCUUUAAUUGACUUUUCCUAGUUGUUCAUUUAUAUCCAAGAGCUGCAGGAAUCCUGGCAAGAGGCUAGUAGCAAUUUGGAAUGCAGACGUUCACUUGCUAAUGCUGAUGCUCCAGAUUCUAUUCUAAAGCUAUGAAUAUGAACGCAAAGACAUGCAAAGCAACUGAAGCAUCAUAUAGCCAAAAAUGAAACUGUGAACGAGGCGGUCCUACGUCAAGCUCAGAUGCAGCAAGAAUUCCCUGUUGGCCCAUUGCAACCUGCCAAGGUUGAAUGAUGGAAGCAUAUAUUCCUCAAUAUCUAUCUGAUUUUGCAUGCCAGAAUUUUGAAUUGCAGGUAGUCCUCCAUUUACAACCACAAUUGCGCCCCAAAUUUCUGUUGUGAAGUGAGUUUUCUUGCC